GGGAAGUAAUUUUUAACCUUCCCGCUAAAGCCUUCAGUCUCCCUCCAUUUUUUUUAAUUUCCCACCAAAUAAUUUGGUCGUCUCUACCGCCACAAUUUCUUAACCUCCCCGUUAAACACCCCUCACAGAUUUUCCCGAUUAUUUCUCUUCACCAAAUCGUAGAUCAGAUCUGAGCUCUCUCGUCCUGGUUCCUCCGUCCUCACGGCGUCAUGACGGCGUCGACACUGCAGACCACACCGGAGUCCAUCGAACAUACACUGCCUCAGAAGGGCACGGUGAUGAAUUCAACGCAAUAUCCUGCUAAUAGCAGAUCGAGUACAAUACACGGCAACUUGAUAAUAAUAUUUAUGUUCACUUCAAUAGCUAGGGAUGCGUCAGGUAAUGUGUACCCUUCAGAGGAAAGAGAUGAUGCACAUUACUCCUUUCUGCAAGUAAAGAAAGGAUUUGUCCCGUAACAAGGAUGGAAAGUAUUUGCCAAAAAAAACAAGGAUGGAAAGUAUAACAGCUUACAAAACCAACGUGGACAACACAGAUCUGGAACUCGAGUAAAUCAUACUCACAAAUAAGUUUUUGAGAAGAGAGACUUGGAAACCAGAGAAGAGGAGCGAAGAUCAAGACUAGAAUUUGAAAAAAAAACAUGAUGGCAAAGUUUACAGAAUUGAGCCAACAGAUGGGAACCCAACAGCUGAUUACAUUCAUAUGCUUGCGACCUUGUAAGAUUUAUGUUGCUUAAUUGCAUUGCUAAAAGUGCACUUCUAUUUUCAGGUGCUAACGAAGAGGAUUAACAAAGGAAAUAGUAUCCAAACUUGCAAAAUACUCUUUUACAUAGAUCUACUCCUAAUAAGACUCCAGUUGCAAGGCCAACUGUUAUUUCUUCAAAUGCUCUCAUACAAGUUGCAACGAGGAAUUCUCGAAUGUUUAAAGCAAUGGAUCCAAAGAACUAGCUGGACUGGAUUCUAGAUCAUGGACAGUUUAGUUUGGCACUUAAUUAGGAUGGCUAAAUUACAUCUGAGUUUCAUUUGAUGGAUAUUUUCUAUGAGAAUUAUGAAUUUAUGAAUGUACAUAUUAUAUGUAUGGUUUGGAAUAUUGUAAUUGAAUGCCUGUAUUUUUUUACGGUUGCAAUGGGCUAUUACCACAACCAACUUUUGGUUGAAAUAGAGUAUCGCCAUGAAAAGUUGGCAUUGUUACAGUAGCUUCUCGCUACAAGCAUUUUGAUCGUUGUGAUAA